rnacentral:rRNA from 1 species
GAUUGAACGCUGGCGGCAUGCCUUACACAUGCAAGUCGAACGGCAGCACGGGGGCAACCCUGGUGGCGAGUGGCGAACGGGUGAGUAAUGCAUCGGAACGUGCCCCGUAGCGGGGGAUAACCAGUCGAAAGACUGGCUAAUACCGCAUACGCUCCACGGAGGAAAGCAGGGGAUCGCAAGACCUUGCACUAUGGGAGCGGCCGAUGCCCGAUUAGCUAGUUGGUGAGGAAAGGCUCACCAAGGCGACGAUCGGUAGCUGGUUUGAGAGAACGACCAGCCACACUGGGACUGAGACACGGCCCAGACUCCUACGGGAGGCAGCAGGUGGGGAAUUUUGGACAAUGGGCGCAAGCCUGAUCCAGCCAUGCCGCGU